rnacentral:lncRNA from 1 species
CCAACACACAGAGGACUAAAGCAGAGACGAUGAACCCAAGUUGAUGCUCAACCCUGCUACCUUUGGCACCCUGGUUGGAAAGCUCUGAGGGCAUGCUGCUUCUGUAUUCUCAGGCAUGCUGUGUGGGCACUGCCAGCCAGCUUCAGAGAUGGGUCCAGGUCCUUUUAAACAUGUUAGUUGAUGCCCAACCUCUAGGGACACAAUGUCUUUCUGCAGUGGAUUCAUGACCUAACCUGGGCAAAUGAGCCUUGAGAAGACACAUGCUAGAAGCUCAUGGAAAAGAAACUUCCUUGCUUUUCUGAAAAAGCUACUGAGAGAGCCCCUUUACUCUUUCUACAGGAUCUGGAGGAGGAAGCAGGCAGGCCCUGGGUCUACCGGCAACCAUCUUGUGAUCAUGAGUUGAGACUAUAUUACCAGGAAAUGAUCCCUACAGAAGGCAGAGUGCAGAGAGGAAGAAAACAAUCUGAGGACAUUAUUGAGUGCUGUAUUAAGCGCAGCAAAUUACAUGGGCCAAUAAAUACCUUUUCUUUCUCAA